rnacentral:rRNA from 1 species
GAUGAACGCUGACAGAAUGCUUAACACAUGCAAGUCAACUUGAACUUCGGUUUGGGUGGCGGACGGGUGAGUAGCGCGUAAAGAACUUGCCUCACAGCUAGGGACAACAUUUGGAAACGAAUGCUAAUACCUGAUAUUAUGAUUAUAUGGCAUCGUAUAAUUAUGAAAGCUAUAUGCGCUGUGAGAGAGCUUUGGGUCCCAUUAGCUAGGUGGAGAGGUAACAGCUCACCAAGGCGAUGAUGGGUAGCCGGCCUGAGAGGGUGAUCGGCCACAAGGGGACUGAGACACGGCCAGUACUCCUACGGGAGGCAGCAGGGGGGAAUGUCGGACAAUGGACCGCGAGGCUGAGCCAGCAAUUCUGUGGGCACGAUGAAGUUUUUCGGAAUGAAAAGUGCUUUCAGUUUGGAAGAAAAAAAUGACGGUACCAACAGAAGAAGUGACGGCUAAAUACGUG